rnacentral:ncRNA from 1 species
GACUCCCCACAGGUCCGCGGCCCAGGAACCCGGUGUGAGACCGGGGCGGUUCCGCCACUGUGAUCCUGUCAGCCUCCGCGAGGGCGCUGCCGGGCAGCCAGACACUGGCCGCGGACACACCUACCGA